UGGACCAUAAAUGCUUAGGUUGGUGUACCUAAGCAUCUAGAGACAUUUCUUUUGUUGUAACUUAGACUGACAAUCCUCCUGUGUUUUGUGGUACUACUGAUGAAACAAGGUUGCAAUUUGGGCUUAGAAGUUUUGCUUUAUUAGCUUGUAUGACAGCAAUAGCCAUUUCAGCAAUACCAGAUUUAAGAAUGUCAUUGAAUAAAGUCAUUCUUGUUAUUUUGUUUUUAAUUGCCUGAGCUUGAUGACACUCAUUCUGAUAGAAAUCGAGUUCAUAAUUUGACAAAUUAUUACUGCAUG
rnacentral:misc_RNA from 1 species